rnacentral:rRNA from 1 species
GACGAACGCUGGCGGCGUGCUUAACACAUGCAAGUCGAGCGGUAAGGCCCUUUCGGGGGUACACGAGCGGCGAACGGGUGAGUAACACGUGGGUGACCUGCCCUCAGCUCUGGGAUAAGCCUGGGAAACUGGGUCUAAUACUGGAUAUGACUCCACGGUGCAUGUCGUGGGGUGGAAAGCCUUGUGCGGCUGAGGAUGGGGCCCGCGGCCUAUCAGCUUGUUGGGGGGUGAUGGCCUACCAAGGCGACGACGGGGUAGCCGGCCUGAGAGGGGCGGACCGGCCACACUGGGACUGAGACACGGCCCAGACUCCUACGGGAGGGCAGCAGUGGGGAAUCUUGCGCAAUGGGCGAAAGCCUGACGCAGCGACGCCGCGUGAGGGAUGACGG